ACGCACGUUAUUCAGUGUGCACCAAAUUUUUUAUGUUAUUUCUUCAUAGACAGAAAAAAUAUUGUAGUCAUUCCUUAAAUGUUUUUUUUUUAAAACUGAAGAUUCUAAGGAUAUUCUUUUAUAGUAAAGCUAAAAUAAUUUUUUGACGUCUUGCAUUAAAUCUAGCAAUUAUUUAUUGUAAUUGAAGAUUCUGCUAUUGUAUACUACAUAAUUUUGAUUAUUUAUGUAUUUUAAAAAAUGUACUUACCGUAUUGUCAGCAUAAUAUUAUAUAGUAAGGAAAUAAUAUUUGUAAUAGUUGAUAAUUUGCGUUGUCAAUGUUGCAUUGAAUAUCUUUUCUGUAUAUAUGGCAUACAUGAAACCUAUAGAAAUUCUUACUUGGUAGGCUAAAUUUUUUACCAUUGUUGUAGAUAUUUUUUCAUAUUUUUUUCUUCUAAUUGCUUGUUUGGGUUCCUUAUCUUUCUUUAGUUUUCUAAAACAUUAAAAGAUGGAGGAAUUUUUAGCCUAAAUUAUGACAAACAAAUAAAAUAUUUGAAAAAAGCAUAAAAGAUUAAAGGCAAAAUUGGAAGUUUUAUUUGUUUAUUAGAUAUAUUUAUUUAUUUUGAAGAAUCAUUUUUAAAAUUGGAAGUUUCUUCUACCUUUUAUUUUUAAAUAUUUGAAUACCUACGCAAUAAAUGUCCUUGUUGAAUAUUUCAAAGUCUCAGGACACAUUCAUGAUUAAGGUACAUUCUGUCAGGAAUUUUAGUUUCAUUUUGGAAUUUAAAAACAAGAAGUCACAUAAUUGGCUAUCAACUAAUCAAUAAAGCAUUCCCCUAAUUAAAUAAUGUUAUAUAAUUAUGAAGAAUCACUGUAGUAGUCUUUAAAAGGUCCCAGUGAUUGAGGGAUCAAAAUAGUUGGUCAACAUCUACCUGUACAGCUUUUGAUCUAUGAGUAUGUGACAUUAUUUGUUUUCCAAGGGAUACAAUGCUGUAAAUUAAUCUGACUUCAUAGCCAGCAUGAGUAUUUCAUAUCAUUUUUGCUUGAAUGAUAUUUACAAAAUUGCAACAAAAAUAUUUUGUAUUGAAAUUUCUAUUCAGUUGUCUUUCAGAAUUGGCAGCUGACAGAUAAUAUAUUAUUUCAAAUUUACACAAGCAUGAUAUGAUAGUGAAACUCUAUUAAUGUAUAUAUAUUGAUAGAUAGUUUGAUAAUGUUUCUAAAAUAUUUAUUAAAUUUUGAAUAAAGACAUCUAAUGUUAAAUGACAUAAGAAUUUGUUUUUGAAGGUAUCACAACAUUAAAACUCAAUUAUUUGAAUGUCUAGGAAAAAAGUCACAGCAGCUAUUUUAGUCUCUUUCUUGAUUAUUUUUUUCUGUACCUAUCUUAUGUUAAUAAUGCUUUUUGGUUAUAUUAUGAUUUUAAAAGUUGGUAAAAAACAAAACAUUAGCAAAUGAAAAAUGUCAUUAUGCUUAAGUUCUGUUGAAGAUGUUCAGAAAUUCUUAUUAUAUAUUGUAUUUUAAAGGCUUUAUAUUUUUACAAUAAAAUACAU
rnacentral:lncRNA from 1 species